rnacentral:rRNA from 1 species
AGAACGAGUUGGGCGGUGAAAAUGAAGGAACAUCCUCGUACCGAACCGCAACAGGACUCCUAGGUGAGAAGCCUAAGGCAUAAUUGUAAUGUGAGCAAGGGAAAUCGGCAAAAUGGAUGAAAAACCUCGGGAUAAUCAUUGGCUCUAGCAUGCUAGAACUGGGCUUACAAGGGGAAUCUGACUGUUUAAUAAAAACAUAGCUUUGUGUGUACGCAAAGUGAAUUCUGCCCAGUGCUUGGGACGUUAAGGAAGUAAUUUUAAGUACGCACCUGUAAACGGCGGGAGUAACUAUGACUCUCUUAAGGUAGCCAAAUGCCUCGUCGCCUAAUUAGCGACGCGCAUGAAUGGAGCAACGAGAUUCCCACUGUCCCUGCUCACAGAUUUGCGAACCUACAGCCAAGGGAACGGGCUUGGGACAUGCAGCGGGGAAAGAAGACCCUGUUGAGCUUGACUCUAGCCAAGCACAGGCCUCUGUGACUAUAUCGUAGCGAGGUGGGAGAAAUGUGUGAGACCACUGACAUAGUCGGCGGGGGCACUCGCAAAGCUUGGUGGGGAGUUUGGCUGGGGCGGCACGACUACUAAAACAUAACGUAGACGUCCAAAGGUAAGCUCCGAGGGGAUGGAAACCACUCCGAGAGUAUAAGGGCAAAAGCUUGCUUUAGUUAUUAAUGUAAAUUAAUAAUACUGGAAACAGGGGCCUAGAGAUCCUCUAUGAAACUAAGCAUAGAGGUGACGGAAAAGUUACCACAGGGAUAACUGGCUUGUGGCGGCCGAGCGUCCAUAGCGACGCCGCUUUUUGAUUCUUCGAUGUCGGCUCUUCCGAGCAUGGUGGAGUAUCAGCCACCAAGUGUGUGAUUGUUCACCAACUAACAGGGAACGUGAGCUGGGUUUAAACCGUCGCGAGACAGGUUAAUUUUACCCUACUG